rnacentral:rRNA from 1 species
UCCAGAGAUGGAUUGGUGCCUUCGGGAACUGUGAGACAGGUGCUGCAUGGCUGUCGUCAGCUCGUGUUGUGAAAUGUUGGGUUAAGUCCCGCAACGAGCGCAACCCUUAUCCUUUGUUGCCAGCGAUUAGGUCGGGAACUCAAAGGAGACUGCCAGUGAUAAACUGGAGGAAGGUGGGGAUGACGUCAAGUCAUCAUGGCCCUUACGACCAGGGCUACACACGUGCUACAAUGGCGCAUACAAAGAGAAGCGACCU